UCUAUAACCGGGUGUGGCUGCGGCCUCCGGAGGCGUGGGCGUCGAGACGAUGCCCUCUCUUCCGGGUGGUAGAGGUAAAACUCUCACGCGCCACAUGUCUGAAUCCUUUUUUUACGAGCACCUUUCGUUCUCCUUCGGUGGGGUGACCUGCCGUUGGAAUCCAUCAAAACUCUUUUUGCAUCUAGCAUUACCUGUUCUGAUACAAACAAUCGUUA
rnacentral:misc_RNA from 1 species